GAAGAAGAAGAACAAGACAAUAGCAAAGUAGAUAUAAGUGAAACUAAGGACAGAGGACAAAAAGAGGGCAAAAAUCUCCAAAUCAGAUUGAUAACUAUUGCUAUUUCGAUUCCAACAUGAUAACUUCAACCAUUCUAAAUCUUGAACGUAACCAUAUAAAACAAUAUAAUUCUCAACUUAGUUUCCAUUUCAGAUUAUAAUGACUGAUGAACCAUUUUAUACUUCAGACUACACAGAACUGUAAUGAAAAUAUGAAAUAUUUCUCAAAUGUAUGCUUUGCCUCUAAAACUGUGAAUGGCACCAAUGAAGAAAGAAAAGAGGCUGGGGAAGGGGAAAGAAGAUUAAAAAAGAAACGGAUGCUUGUGACCCAAAAUGACUAGAGGCAGAAAUGGCUAGAACUAGGACAGUCAAUUGGGAUUAACAAGCACAAAAUUGAUUUGUUUUGCCUGAAAAUUUUAUCCUAAGCUUCAUAAGAGGUCAAGCUAGGUUGAAUUUGGUCAGGAAAAUGAGAUAAUAUAAAAAUUGGGUUGAACUUGGCUGAGGUAAGCCAAUCAUUUAAACUCAGCCACGCUUAAAGGCAAAUCACAUAUAUAAUAUCCAUCAUUAAUUUAUAUACAUUAUAAAGGAAAACUAUUAAAUCUUAAACCCAAUAGAUGAACCAAGGAUGCCGUAUAAUGCAUAUCUAGUGUUCACUUUAUUCUCUUCUACUAACAUGGUGUUUUACUUGCUAUAUAAAUGUUUUGAUAAUUACUUAAAGAUCUAAGUGUCACUAUAUUGUUGCUUCUCCAAUUAUAAGAUUGUGGUCCAAAAGAACCUGUUGUCAAUAAGAAAAUGGGCUUAACAAUUACAUUUUAAGGGAAAAAAAAAAAAGUU
rnacentral:misc_RNA from 1 species